UGUGCAGGUAGAGAGCAGCUUGUGUUCAGUCAAUGAGUAAGUCUCCGUAAGAAUUAUAAUAAAUAUUGCAUGGCGGUCCAUUUUCUCGUCAGUUUUGAAAUUUUAGGAGCAGAAUAAGCUUGACAAUCGGAUAAAGGGCAAAUUUCCCUGCACUGGUUCGGAACCCAAAUUGAAAUGAGUCUACCAACAGCCAAGGUUCGGAAAUGUUCCACCUGCUCAAAAUCAUUCAAAAGAAAGACGGACUUGGCCCGGCACAUUAUAACCCACGACCCGGAAGCCAAGGUGAAAUGUCAGAUUUGCGGGCAAAUUAUGAAAAAUCCACAAAGCUUACACGUUCACAUGAGAGUGUCUCACACCAACCGGGAACGACCAAGUUGCGAUAUUUGUCAUCGGGUGUGCUCUUCACAUGCAAAUUUACGAAGACACAUUAGUUCCGUUCACAGCGCGAUGAAACGACCUCGUCUUCCAUGUGAUUUUCCCGGAUGUGGAAAAACCUGCCAGAACAGGGAUGCCUUAUCGAAACACUUAAGAAGUGAACAUGCCGAAAAUCCGACCCGAUUUCCGUGCACGCUUUGUGGUAGAAAACUAAAAACCGCACAAAAAUUUGAGGAGCACAUUUCCACCCACACGACGGAAAAGGCCUACACUUGUUCCACUUGUGGGAGGAGUGGGUUCACCCAACAAAACGCCAUGAAAAAACACGAGGACACGCAUUUGGAAAUUUCGACCCGGAGGAUUUUCCAGUGUGAACUUUGUCCUCAGAUUUUCUUGAGUGGAGCGGCCUUAGUAAAACAUGUGCAAGUUUGCAUGAAAAUCGGAGGAAUUAUCCGUGCACAUUUUGUGACAAAAGAUUGACGACAUCAGUCAGUUUGAAACGACACGUGGAGAGAAAACAUUCCGCCAGGAUUCAUUCCUGCGACCAUGUGAAUUCGCGAGUCACUCGAAAGCAGGUUUAUCCCAGCACGCAAGGCAUCACAAUCCUGCGAAUCGACGCGACUGUUACUUCUGCAGGAAGCCGUUGUGCACUUUUCCAAUCUGGUGACACAUUGUCGUCGUCAUACCCUUGAAGGGUGAAUAUGUAAUAAAUUAUUGUUGCUGUUAUUGGAUUUUAUUGUGAGCAAGUGUUUCCAAAUGGUCAUCUAUAUUAUAAGCUGGAAAUGUUUGUCUGCAACGGAAGUGAAACUAAUUUGUCCGCAACGGAAGUAAAAGUGGAGAAAGUCAAGUUUCAAAUGGCGCGAAAAUUCGAAUUAAAUUUUUAAUUAAAAAAAAUAAAUACCCCCCAGGUAACCACCGUCUGACAAGCACCCCCAGAUAACUACCUCCUGACAACCACUCCCAGAUAACCAUCUAAGAUAAUCACCCCCAGAUAACCAUCUAAGAUAACCACCCCCAGAUAACCAUCUAAGAUAACCACCCCCAGAUAACCAUCUAAGAUAAUCACCCCAGAUGUACGCAUAGCACAAUACUGUUGUGACCUGAAACAACUCAUCGAUCUGUGAUGAAGUUGUCGGUGCUGAGCUGUGCGCACAGCACAGGGUCGAAGAGUUAUGUCAUGUUUGAAGUGGGACUAUUAAGCUUUGAUGUGCUGUUCUGGGCUGUGCGCACAGCACAGGGUCGAAGAGUUGUGUCACGUUAGCAAUGAGGCUAUUGUGCUGUGACGUGGCACAACUCAUCUGUGAUUUGUUGUCUGAUAGUGGUUAUCUGGGAAUGGUUGUCUGACGAUGGUUCUUUAGGAAUGAUUAUCGUGAGCGGUUGUCUAAUAAUAGUUAUAUUGGUUAUCAUGGACCCUGUACUUUAAAGUGAGGUAAAAUUUGGUGGAUGUCACUUUUGCUUCCAUCGCGUGGAACAGUUACUUUCACUUUUCUUUCCAAUAUACAUGUUCAGUUAAUAAGAGGUAUAAUAAAAAAAAUAAUUCUGCGGAAUUAUGAACAAAAUCCCACUCAAUUUUCAUGAAAAUCAGUUGAGCUCUCGCCCGGCGGGAGACGGGCUUAUACG